GAUGAAGAACGCAGCGAAAUGCGAUAAGUAAUGUGAAUUGCAGAAUUCAGUGAAUCAUCGAAUCUUUGAACGCACAUUGCGCCCGCUAGUAUUCUGGCGGGCAUGCCUGUUCGAGCGUCAUUUCAACCCUCAGGCCCCCAGUGCCUGGCGUUGGGGAUCGGCCGCUGGCGUCCUUCGGGGCGCCUGGCCGGCCCCGAAAUCUAGUGGCGGUCUCGCUGUAGUCCUCCUCUGCGUAGUAGCACAACCUCGCAGUUGGAAUUCGGCGGUGGCCAUGCCGUUAAACACCCCACUUCUGAAAGUUGACCUCGGAUCAGGUAGGAAUACCCGCUGAACUUAAGCAUAUCAAUAAGCGGAGGA
rnacentral:misc_RNA from 1 species